rnacentral:misc_RNA from 1 species
CAGGCUUGAUCGGGUAACACGCCGAUCCUCUGUGCGGCUCCUCCUAGGAGAGGAGUCGGCGGAUUGGGUCCGUGUUUCCCGUCUCGCGAUGGGACGACGCGUGAGUGGCUCCACGGACGUGAUCCCCGAGCAGGCUCCAUGCUCCUCGCAUCGAACUGCCUCGGCCCGUUCGUUUCACUUGUGGGUUCGCCUCGGCCAUUGUCAGGGUCGUUUGCGGCUGACACUGUGGGUACCUGCGCUCGAUAUCCGAAGAGGGUAGCUGGAAGGAUCAUAGUCGCCGUGUCGGUACCCUCGAUUCACCCCUCUGUCACAUGGGAGUUGGUGGAUGCCGUCGUGCGCGCAUCCGACGCUCUCCAUCGGGAAGGCCGAUGUCCCUUUCGGGCUCUCCUUCUUGGGACGGCGCGUCGGUGCUGCCUAGCUUUGCUCUCGGGUGCGGUGGUUAAGUUGGCUAUGGCAUCGGUCCCUGCGGCCGGUGUGAUCUCGGAGCUCUUAUGCGUGACCCUCGUGCUUGUCUAGGGGCUCUCGGAGCUUUGCCGCUUCGUGAACGUCUUGGGGAGGUAUCGAGGUGUACGGAGGAAUGU